AGGGCGUUCAGUUGCUGGGCGUAGACCCGAAACCAGGUGAUCUAUCCAUGGCCAGGAUGAAGGUGCGGUAACACGUACUGGAGGUCCGAACCCACUAACGUUGAAAAGUUAGGGGAUGAGCUGUGGAUAGGGGUGAAAGGCUAAACAAACCUGGAAAUAGCUGGUUCUCUCCGAAAACUAUUUAGGUAGUGCCUCGUGUCUCACCUUCGGGGGUAGAGCACUGUCAUGGUUGGGGGGUCUAUUGCAGAUUACCCCGCCAUAGCAAACUCCGAAUACCGAAGAGUGCAAUCACGGGAGACAGACAUCGGGUGCUAACGUCCGGUGUCAAGAGGGAAACAACCCAGACCGCCAGCUAAGGUCCCCAAAUAUGGCUAAGUGGGAAACGAAGUGGGAAGGCUAAAACAGUCAGGAGGUUGGCUUAGAAGCAGCCACCCUUUAAAGAAAGCGUAAUAGCUCACUGAUCGAGUCGUCCUGCGCGGAAGAUGUAACGGGGCUAAGCCAUAUACCGAAGCUGCGGAUGCGAGCUAGUCUCGCAUGGUAGGAGAGCGUUCCGUAAGCCUGCGAAGGUGCGUUGAAAAGCGUGCUGGAGGUAUCGGAAGUGCGAAUGCUGACAUGAGUAGCGAUAAAGGGGGUGAAAGGCCCCCUCGCCGUAAGCCCAAGGUUUCCUACGCAACGUUCAUCGGCGUAGGGUGAGUCGGCCCCUAAGGCGAGGCAGAAAUGCGUAGCUGAUGGGAAGCAGGUCAAUAUUCCUGCACCGUCGUUAGAUGCGAUGGGGGGACGGAUCGCGGAAGGUUGUCCGGGUGUUGGAAGUCCCGGUCGCUGCAUUGGAGAAGGCGCUUAGGCAAAUCCGGGCGCAGGAUUCAAGGGUGUGGCGCGAGCUCCUUCGGGAGCGAAGCAAUUGGAAGUGGUUCCAAGAAAAGCCUCUAAGCUUCAGUCUAACGAUGACCGUACCGCAAACCGACACAGGUGGGCGAGAUGAGUAUUCUAAGGCGCUUGAGAGAACUCGGGAGAAGGAACUCGGCAAAUUGGUACCGUAACUUCGGGAUAAGGUACGCCCUGGUAGCUUGACUGGCCUGCGCCAGAAGGGUGAAGGGGUUGCAAUAAACUGGUGGCUGCGACUGUUUAAUAAAAACACAGCACUCUGCAAACACGAAAGUGGACGUAUAGGGUGUGACGCCUGCCCGGUGCCGGAAGAUUAAAUGAUGGGGUGCAAGCUCUUGAUUGAAGUCCCGGUAAACGGCGGCCGUAACUAUAACGGUCCUAAGGUAGCGAAAUUCCUUGUCGGGUAAGUUCCGACCUGCACGAAUGGCGUAACGAUGGCCACACUGUCUCCUCCCGAGACUCAGCGAAGUUGAAGUGUUUGUGAUGAUGCAAUCUACCCGCGGCUAGACGGAAAGACCCCAUGAACCUUUACUGUAGCUUUGCAUUGGACUUUGAACCGAUCUGUGUAGGAUAGGUGGGAGGCUAUGAAACCGGAACGCUAGUUUCGGUGGAGCCGUCCUUGAAAUACCACCCUGGUUUGUUUGAGGUUCUAACCUUGGCCCGUGAUCCGGGUCGGGGACAGUGCAUGGUAGGCAGUUUGACUGGGGCGGUCUCCUCCCAAAGCGUAACGGAGGAGUACGAAGGUACGCUAGGUACGGUCGGAAAUCGUGCUGAUAGUGCAAUGGCAUAAGCGUGCUUAACUGCGAGACCGACAAGUCGAGCAGGUGCGAAAGCAGGUCAUAGUGAUCCGGUGGUUCUGUAUGGAAGGGCCAUCGCUCAACGGAUAAAAGGUACUCUGGGGAUAACAGGCUGAUACCGCCCAAGAGUUCAUAUCGACGGCGGUGUUUGGCACCUCGAUGUCGGCUCAUCUCAUCCUGGGGCUGUAGCCGGUCCCAAGGGUAUGGCUGUUCGCCAUUUAAAGAGGUACGUGAGCUGGGUUUAAAACGUCGUGAGACAGUUUGGUCCCUAUCUGCCGUGGGCGUUGGAAGUUUGAAGGGGGCUGCUCCUAGUACGAGAGGACCGGAGUGGACGAACCUCUGGUGUACCGGUUGUGACGCCAGUCGCAUCGCCGGGUAGCUAUGUUCGGAAGAGAUAACCGCUGAAAGCAUCUAAGCGGGAAACUCGCCUUAAGAUGAGACUUCCCCGGGGACUUGAUCCCCUUGAAGGGUCGUUCGAGACCAGGACGUUGAUAGGUCGGGUGUGUAAGCGCAGUAAUGCGUUCAGCUAACCGAUACUAAUUGCCCGUACGGCUUGAUCCUAUAACA
rnacentral:rRNA from 1 species